rnacentral:rRNA from 1 species
GUGGAUUAGAUACCCUGGUAGUCCACGCCCUAAACGAUGUCAAUUAGCUGUUGGGGGUUAGAAUCCUUGGUAGCGUAGCUAACGCGUGAAAUUGACCGCCUGGGGAGUACGGCCGCAAGGUUAAAACUCAAAGGAAUUGACGGGGGCCCGCACAAGCGGUGGAUGAUGUGGAUUAAUUCGAUGCAACGCGAAAAACCUUACCUGCUCUUGACAUGUACGGAACUUGCCAGAGAUGGCUUGGUGCCCGAAAGGGAGCCGUAACACAGGUGCUGCACGGCCGUCGCCAGCU